GACGAACGCUGGCGGCGUGCUUAACACAUGCAAGUCGAGCGGAAAGGCCACUUCGGUGGUACUCGAGCGGCGAACGGGUGAGUAACACGUGAGUAAUCUGCCCCUGGCUUUGGGAUAGCCACCGGAAACGGUGAUUAAUACCGGAUACGACCACUUCUCGCAUGGGAUGGUGGUGGAAAGUUUUUUCGGCCAGGGAUGCGCUCGCGGCCUAUCAGCUUGAUGGUGAGGUAAUGGCUCACCAUGGCUUCGACGGGUAGCCGGCCUGAGAGGGUGACCGGUCACACUGGGACUGAGACACGGCCCAGACUCCUACGGGGGGCAGCAGUGGGGAAUAUUGGACAAUGGGCGGAAGCCUGAUCCAGCAACGCCGCGUGAGGGAUGACGGCCUUCGGGUUGUAAACCUCUUUCAGCAGGGACGAAGCGCAAGUGACGGUACCUGCAGAAGAAGCACCGGCCAACUACGUGCCAGCAGCCGCCGUAA
rnacentral:rRNA from 1 species